rnacentral:lncRNA from 1 species
UUAGAUCUCAUGAGAACUCACUAUCACAAGAACAGCAAGGGGGAAGUCCACCCCCAUGAUUCAAUCACCUCCUACCAGGCCCCUCCCCUGACACGUGAGGAUUACAAUUCAAGAUGAAAUUUGGUUGGGGACACAGAGCCAAACCAUAUCAUUCUAUCCCUGACCCCUCCCAAAUCUCAUGUCCUUCUCACAUUUCAAAACCAAUCAUGCCCUCCCAACAGUCCCCCAAAGUCUUAACUCAUUCCAGCAUUACCUCAAAAGUGCAAUUCCAAAGUCUCAUCUGAGCUAAGACAAGUCCCUUCCACCUAUGAGCCUGUAAAAUCAGAAACAAGUUAGUUACUUCCAAGAUACAAUGGGAGUACAAGCAUUGGGUAAAUGCUGCCAUUCCAAAAGGGAGAAAUUGGCAAAAAGAAAAGGGCUAGAGGACCCACGCAAGUCCAAAACCCAACAGGGCAGUCAUUAAAUCUUAAAGCUCCAAAAUAAUCUCCUUUGAAUCCAUGUCUCAUAUAUAUGGCAUGCUGAUGCAAGGGGUGGGCUCUCACAGCCUUGGGCAGCUCUGCCACUGUGGCUCUGCAGGGUACUGCCUCAGCAGCUGCUUUCAUGGACUGGCAUUGAGUGGCUGCAGCUUUUUCAGAUGCAAGGUGAAAGUUGUCAGUGGAACUAGCAUUCCGGGGUCUGGAGGAUGGUGGCCCUCUUUUCACAGCUCCACUAGGCAGUGCCCCAGUGGGGACUCUGUAUGGGGGCUCCAACCCCACAUUUCCCCUCUGCACUGCUUUACUAGAGGUUCUCCAUGAGGGCUUUGCCCCUGCAACAGACUUCUGCCUGGACAUUCAGGCAUUUCCAUACAUCCUCAGAAAUCUAGGUGGAGGCUCCCAAACUUUUGCCUUCUGUGCACACACAGGCCCAACACCAUGUGGAAGCCACCAAGGCUUGGGACUUGUACCCUCUGAAGCAAUGGCCUGAGCUGUAUGUUGGCCCCUUUUAGCUACAACUGGAGCCAGAGAGGCUGGGAUACAGGGUGCCAUGUCCCCAGGCUGCACAGAGCAGAGGGGCCCAUAAAACCAUUUUUCCCUCCUAGUCCUCCAGGCCUAUGGUGGGAGGGGCUGCCACAAAGGUCUUUAACAUGCCCUGGAGACAUUUCCCCAUUGUCUUGGCUAUUAACAUUUGGCUCCUCUGUGCAAAUUUCUAUAACCUACUUAAAUCUCUCCCCCAAAAAUGGGUUUUUCUUUUCUACCACAUGGUCAGGCUGCAAAUUUUCCAAACUUGUAUGCUUUGCUUCCCAUUUAAAUAUAAGUUACAAUUUCAGAACAUCUCUUUGUUCAUGCAUAUGAGCAUACACUUUUAGAAGCAGCCAAUCACAUCCUGAAUGCUUUGCUGCUUAGAAAUUUCUUCCACCUGAUACCCUAAAUCAUUUCCCUUGAGUUAAAGUUUUAGAGAUCUCGAGGGCAGGGGCAAAAUGCAGCCUGUCUCUUUGCUAAAGCAUAGCAAGAAUGACUUUUACUCCACUUCCCAAUAAGUUCUUUAUCUCCAUCUGAGACCACUUCAGCCUGGACCUCAUUGUUCACAUCACUGUCACCAUUUUGGUCAAACCAUUUAACAAAUCUCUAUGAGGUUCCAAACGUUCCCACAUCUUUCUGUCUUCUUUUGAGCCCUCCAAACUGUUCCAACCUCUGUUCGUUAUCCAGUUCCAAAGUCACUUCCACAUCUUCAGGUAUCUUUAUAGCAGUGCCCAAAUCCUAGUAUCAAUUUUCUGUAUUAGUCCAUUUUCACACUGCUACAAAGAACUGAGACUGGGUAAUUUAUGAAGAAAAGAGGUUUAAUUGACUCACAGUUUUGCAGGCUUAACAGGAAGCAUGACUGGGAGGCCCCAGGAAACUUACAAUCAUGGCAGAAGGUGAAGGGGAAGCAAGACACAUCUUCCCAUCCAUGGUGGAACAGGAGAGAGAGAAGGGGGAAGUGCCACACAUUUUUAAACCAUCAGAUCUCAUGAAAACUCACUCACUAUCACAAGAACAGCAAGGGGAAUUCCACCCCCAUGAUUCAGUCACCUCCCACCAGGGCCCUCCCCCAGUAUGUGGGGAUUACAAUUUGUGAUGAGAUUUGGGUGGGGACACAGAGCCAAACCAUAUUAAUGAUAUUAGAGCCCUCAUGAUCUAAUCACCUCUUACGGUUCCCACUUCUUAACACAGUUGCAUUGAGGAUUAACUUUCCAACACAUGAAUAUCGUGGGACACGUUCAAACCAUAGUGGAUCUUGUAUUUUCCAAUGACUACCUACUCUCCACCCAAAUGUUAGAAUAUCCCCCAUCACUUUCUAUUAUUGUACACUACCUUUUUUCUCUACACUACUUCUCAAUCCUUAUGAUUUAUUAUUACUGUUUUUGUUAUUGUUUUACUUGUUUAUGCAUGCUUGUUUCCCCUGGGCACAUGCCUGGCAUGUUUUAGGCACCAGUACAAGUGUGUUGAAUAGAUAGAUGGAUGAAUCUCUAAUGUUUUCCAACUAUAGCACCCUAAUUGAGACUGGAAAGAUUCUGUCAAGAAUAAUUCUUGGGUCUUGAUUUCACCAAACAGUAGUAUUGACACAGAUACUUAUAACCCUCUGGAAACAGAAUAGGACAAAAUAAUAAAAUAUUUUUUUCUGCUUUUGUGUC